AUAUUGGACAAUGGGGGCAACCCUGAUCCAGCCAUGCCGCGUGUGUGAAGAAGGUCUUCGGAUUGUAAAGCACUUUAAGUUGGGAGGAAGGGCUUUAGGUUAAUACCCUGAAGUUUUGACGUUACCAACAGAAUAAGCACCGGCUAACUCCGUGCCAGCAGCCGCGGUAAUACAGUGGUUGCAAGCGUUAAUCGGAAUUACUGGGCGUAAAGCGCGCGUAGGUGGUUCAGUAAUAUGGGCGUGAGAUCACCGGGCUUAACAUUGGAACUGCUUUCAUAACUGAUGAGCUAGAGUACGGUAGAGGGUAGUGGAAUUUCCUGUGUAGCGGUGAAAUGCGUAGAUAUAGGAAGGAACACCAGUGGCGAAGGCGACUACCUGGACUGAUACUGACACUGAGGUGCGAAAGCGUGGGGAGCAAACAG
rnacentral:rRNA from 1 species